GUGCGAGGCCGAAAUCUGCAACCUGGAAGACAAUAUAUGGCCAGAAGGAGAUAAUAUGUCAAAAUAUAAACUUAUGAUAUUUGAUGUGUGAAUUUUAGGAUGCGAGAAAAUCCAGUUCUUCAAAUUCUUAAUAUAAUCCAAAGGUCAUCUAUAGACCUGGAUUCACUGAGAAAGUUUAUUUUGCUCUCAAUGAGUAUUUCAGAAAUG
rnacentral:misc_RNA from 1 species